UACGUAGGGUGCGAGCGUUGUCCGGAAUUACUGGGCGUAAAGAGCUUGUAGGUGGUUUGUCGCGUUGUUCGUGAAAUCUCACGGCUUAACUGUGAGCGUGCGGGCGAUACGGGCAGACUAGAGUACUGCAGGGGAGACUGGAAUUCAUGGUGUAGCAGUGAAAUGCGUAGAGAUCAUGAGGAAGACCAGUGGCGAAGGCGGGUCUCUGGACAGUUCCUGACACUGAGGCACGAAGGCCAGGGGAGCAAACGGG
rnacentral:rRNA from 1 species